rnacentral:pre_miRNA from 1 species
UUUGUACUCCCUCCGUCCCAAAAUUCUUGUCUUAGAUUUGUCUAAAUACGGAUGUAUCUAGUUACGUUUUAGUAUUUAGACAAAUCUAAGACAAGAAUUUUGGGAUGGAGGGAGUAUGUA